GACGAACCGUGCGAACGUUAUUCGGAAUCACUGGCUUAAAGGGCGCGUGAGCGGGUUGCCAAGUCUGUGGUGAAAUCCUCCAGCUUAACUGGAGAACGGCCGUGGAUACUGGCGACCUCGAGGGGGGUAGGGGCUUGCGGAACUGUGCGUGGAGCGGUGAAUGCGUUGAUAUGCACAGGAACUCCGGUGGCGAAGGCGGCGAGCUGGACCCUUCUGACGCUGAGGCGCGAAAGCCAGGGGAGCGAACGGG
rnacentral:rRNA from 1 species